AAUUUCUGCAUGUUCCUAACUUCUGAUCUGUAACCUGCAGAUGCUUUUUUUUUUCAUUCGUCCAAAGUUGCAGCACAAGAGCUCGAUGGUGAAGCCUCAAGAAAAUCUGCACCCUGCGAAGUGUUCAAGAUAAUUGCAUCUAGAUAUUUUGACAACCAGUUGUAUUUGAAUAUUUUGACAAAUGCAAUAGAACUAUUCCUAUACAUAUUGAUUAAAUAAGCAUUCUGUUCUAAUUAUCCUCUUCAUUUUUCAUAACAGGAUUUCUUGUUGCACUUGAUGUCGCGCUCACCUGUCAUUGAGUGCCUUGGCGUCUUCCUCGACCUCUACGACCAGCUGAUUAGCUUACCGGCUGGAGGGAUUCAGUGCUCUCAGGAAAAUCUGUACGAGCAGAAAUUGACUUCAUCGACACUAGUGGCUGAAAGGAUUUCGUGUGAAGUGUGAAGCCUUACUCAGCAAGUAGAAGCUGUUGAACUGUGAUAGCUUAGGUUUAUAUUUUUUGAUGUUUCUCUUUUCCCACAGUAAUACUGUACAUAAUAGAUUUAGCUGUUAUUUGAGGAGUGAUGGUCUGUCCACUUGAGAUUCUUGUACGUACGAUUUUGAAAUGAAACUUGGCUAUCUAGAAUGUUAUGGG